rnacentral:misc_RNA from 1 species
CAUCCAUCUAUUAAUAGUAUAUAAUUCUUCAAAGGUCUGGGAUAUUAAAUUCUUUACAAUAUAAGAUACUAGAGGCAUUCACAAAUACAAAGUCAAACUCGCCAAACAUAUCCACACUAACAGAAAGUAAACACAAAAUGAAAAAGGCUGCUUCAAGUGAAACACAAUUAACAUUUCUGAUAUAGUAGAAACAUUUAAUGGUUCACAGAAGCUUGAAGGAGUCCAUCGCGGAUCUGGCUUGCCACAUCUCUUACAGCACCAGGCCCAUGAGGAAGGAAGACAGCAGAUGAUUUACUGGAAGCGCCAAUUUCUUUCAUGGUGUCAAAGUACUGGGUUAAAAGGACCAUGUCCAUUACAUCUUUUGCUGAGGUUCCAGGCACAUUCACUGAGAAUCCGAGCACGCUGUCUCUCAAACCAUCCACAAUCGCUUGACGCUGUCGUGCAAUACCUAACCCUGAAAGAUACUUUGAUUCUGCCUCUCCUUCAGCCCUCUUAAUUUGCAAAAUCUUCUCCGCCUCUGCUUUCUCAUUAGCAGCCACCCUCAGCCGAGCAGCAGCAUUGAUUUCAUUCAUAGCUCUCUUCACAUUCUCAUCUGGUUCUAUAUCAACUAUAAGUGUUUGAACAAUUUCAUAUCCAUAAGCCGACAUAGCCUUCUCAAGUUCAUCCUCGACAGCCUUGGCAAUUUCAUUUUUCUGCUCGAAAACAUCAUCAAGAUUGAGUUUUGGAACACUUGCUCUAAUGACAUCAAAAACAUAGGCCUGAAUUUGAGCUUUGGUAUUGGAGAGCUUAUAGUAGGCGUCUGCUGCUUUUUCUGCCAAUGCACGAUAUUGAAUAGAGGCAACCACAUUGACAAAUACAUUAUCCUUUGUUUUUGUCUCACACCUAAUAUCAAGUUGUUGUACACGCAGAGAAAGUAUACCAGACACUUUGUAUCCCAGGCACCAUGGCAAGCAGUGGCAGCCAGGAUCCAGCACAGCAUUAUACUUUCCAAAGUGUUCCCUGAUAGCAACUUUUGAUUGUUCCACUUGAAUGCAACCGCAUGCUUGACCCAUAUUGAAUUCUGCUAGUAGGAGAUAAAACCAUAGUAGUUGUAUGUAACUAAGAAAACUAAGAACAUGCAGCGAACAAAAACAAUCUUAUAUCUUUUAACAGGCAUAAUCUUCAUUUAAAAUUGUUGGAUAUUGAAGGAGGGAACAAAAUCCCACAUCAGCAGUGCGUGCAAUAUAAGUGUUGGUAAAUGAAACCAAAAUGGGGAGCUCAAUUUCAAGCUUAGUUUAGCAGGGAGACCUGCCUGUUUGAUGAUUCACACUACUGGGCCGUUAUUCUUUAAGGAAAGCAAUAAAAGGAAGAAAAUUUUUCAAAGUAAAGGGAGGGACAAAGAAAGGGUACCUAUGCUUGUGAAAUAUCUUAGAAGGAACAGAUUUAGGGGGCUGAGGGAUUACAAAACAGAAGUAUAUGUCAUGAUAUGUAUGGAUCUCGGUUGGGCAAAACGCAAAUAACAAUUUCAACCAAAAUUUCUCUUAAAAUGAACAUCAAGUUGUGAGUGAAAAUAAUAAAUACAUAAUGCCAGUACCCUAUCUCCUAUUAUCACUUUCUAUGGACCAAGGAAGAAGAAGAAGAAGCUGUUUAUUCUCUGCAGGAAUGCAAAGAAACUGUUGAAAAUGUAAAUUUUAGCCUCAGAAAAAACAACUAAAAAUAAAAAAAAAUCAUAAAUUAUUAUUAACAAUUAACAAUCAUAAUCAUAUGAUUCUCUUUUGCUCUCCAAUUCAGUCCCUUUUCUUUGAUGCGAAGAUCGCACGCCCGCACUCGGGUCUAUUCUAAACCCAACAAUCAAAUGGAUCCCGUCAAGCUCCAGAUCCGACCUAACCAAAGAUCCUCUAAUCUCUUCUCUAAGACCAAGCCCUCCACAAGCUUCUUGUCUAUCUUCUUCUCUUCUGUUUUGAUCUUGAUCGCUCUUUCAUUCUGCUAUGUCUUCUUCAGCAAUGGGGAUUCUCUUGAUUCUCGUAACAGGUAUGGUAUUAUCAUCGACGGCGGCAGCACGGGCACCCGGAUUCACGUGUUCGCCUACCGAAUCGAGGGCGGUAAACCGGUUUUCGAUUUCGGGGAUGGGGCGAUGAGGGUGAAUCCGGGAUUGUCGGCGCAUGUGAACGAUCCGGAAGGGGCCGGUAGAUCCUUGGAGGAGCUCCUGGAGUUUGGAAAAGGGAGAGUGCCGAAAAAGCUUUGGGGAGAGACGGAGAUUCGGUUAAUGGCGACGGCUGGGAUGAGAUUACUCGAUUCUGAGGUUCAAGACAGAAUUCUGGAGUCGUGUAGAAAGGUUUUGAGAAAGUCCGGGUUCAAGUUCAGGAAUGACUGGGCCUCUGUUAUUACUGGCUCCGACGAGGGGGUAUAUGCUUGGGUUGUUGCCAACUAUGCAUUGGGUACGCUUGGAGGUGAUCCUUCUGAAACGACUGGGAUUAUUGAACUUGGUGGAGCUUCUGCUCAGGUAACUUUUGUUUCAAAUGAUCCAAUGCCUCCUGAGUUCUCACGCACUGUUAAGUUUGGGAAUAUUACUUACAGCAUCUACAGCCAUAGCUUUCUUCAUUUUGGCCAGAAUGCUGCUUUUGAAGCAUUGAGGGAAUCACUUGUCUCAGUGGACUAUCAACCAGCAUCGGAAUCACUUGAGAAAGGAAUAUUUGUAGAUCCCUGUAUUCCCAAGGGCUACUCACAUGCUAUGGAAUCUUGGAAGCUCUCUCCAGGUUCAAUGGAAAAGAAUAAAAUUCUAUCCAAUCUUCAUGCAAGGGGUAACUUCUCUGAGUGCAGAUCUGCUGCAUUAACACUGAUUCAGAAGGGAAAAGGUUACAACUACUUUUAGAAGGAUCAUGUCAUAAGAUAUUCUUUCCUAGGUUUUCUGCUCAUUUUGUUUGACAUGGUUAUGAUCUUUGUUUUAUUAUCUGCCAUGCAGAGCAGUGCUCCUGUCAGCAGUGCUACAUAGGAUCAACAUUCACACCUAAGCUUCAGGGGAAGUUUCUGGCAACUGAGAAUUUCUUCUAUACAUCAAAGUUCUUUGGAUUGGGUCCAAGGGCAUUUCUUUCUGACCUGAUUGUGGCUGGAGAACACUUUUGCGGAGAAGAUUGGUCAACAUUGAAAAAGAAACACCAUUCAUUUGAUAGUGAUGAUCUGAUGCACUAUUGCUUCUCUUCAGCGUAUAUUGUGGCCCUACUUCAUGACAGUCUGGGAAUUGCAUUGGAUGAUGAAAGGAUUGGAUGUGCCAAUCAGAUUGGAAACAUCCCUCUUGACUGGGCAUUGGGAGCUUUCAUCUUGCAGAGCACUGCUGUAUUUGAGAUGCAGCACCCAGAUUGGAUUACCACUGUCAUUAAUGAUGACUCACCCACCCUUGUAUCACUCAUUGCCAUCGCCAUAUUAUUGAUGUUUGUGGCAUGGUCUGUGUCAAAGUGGAGAAAGCCCCAGCUAAAGACAGUUUAUGAUCUAGAGAAAGGGCGGUACAUAGUUACCCGUGUUGGAAGAAGUUGAUAAGCAUAUUUCAAGGGGAUGGAUACUUCUUUCCAGGCUUUGCGGACUAGGAGGAAGCUCCAGUGCAAUUACAAUUGAACAUAUUAUGCUUCCUCCUGUUAUUUCCAAUUGCCAAAGUUCUCCCUCUUAAAGCUGCCCUUUUCCUUGGAAAGGUGAGGUUGUAGUUGUACCAUGCUGGGUUUCAGAGGGUGUGGUGUAAGUAAUGAAAAGCAUAGGAUGGAAGAGUAGUUUCCCCUUUUGUAUCAAGCGGGAGAUAAAACCUCAGUUUCAUCACACACCAAAUGCAAUCUCAUUAUAGGUAUUAUAUAAAUUUAGGAUCAAAAACAACUCAGCCAUAUGGGUAACUAUCUCACACAUUUGUACGAAAAGAUUUAUUUAUUGUUACAUGCACACGAUUGUGCAAAUUUCUAAUUCCAAGUGCAUUUUUUAUUUUU